CAGUCGAGCGAGCUGAACCAACAGAUUCACUUCGGUGAUGACGUUGGGAACGCGAGCGGCGGAUGGGUGAGUAACACGUGGGGAACCUGCCCCAUAGUCUGGGAUACCACUUGGAAACAGGUGCUAAUACCGGAUAAGAAAGCAGAUCGCAUGAUCAGCUUAUAAAAGGCGGCGUAAGCUGUCGCUAUGGGAUGGCCCCGCGGUGCAUUAGCUAGUUGGUAGGGUAACGGCCUACCAAGGCAAUGAUGCAUAGCCGAGUUGAGAGACUGAUCGGCCACAUUGGGACUGAGACACGGCCCAAACUCCUACGGGAGGCAGCAGUAGGGAAUCUUCCACAAUGGACGAAAGUCUGAUGGAGCAACGCCGCGUGAGUGAAGAAGGUUUUCGGAUCGUAAAGCUCUGUUGUUGGUGAAGAAGGAUAGAGGUAGUAACUGGCCUUUAUUUGACGGUAAUCAACCAGAAAGUCACGGCUAACUACGUGCCAGCAGCCGCGGUAAUACGUAGGUGGCAAGCGUUGUCCGGAUUUAUUGGGCGUAAAGCGAGCGCAGGCGGAAGAAUAAGUCUGAUGUGAAAGCCCUCGGCUUAACCGAGGAACUGCAUCGGAAACUGUUUUUCUUGAGUGCAGAAGAGGAGAGUGGAACUCCAUGUGUAGCGGUGGAAUGCGUAGAUAUAUGGAAGAAC
rnacentral:rRNA from 1 species